rnacentral:rRNA from 1 species
UGGGGAAUUUUGGACAAUGGGCGAAAGCCUGAUCCAGCAAUGCCGCGUGUGUGAAGAAGGCCUUCGGGUUGUAAAGCACUUUUGUCCGGAAAGAAAUCCUUGGCUCUAAUACAGUCGGGGGAUGACGGUACCGGAAGAAUAAGCACCGGCUAACUACGUGCCAGCAGCCGCGGUAAUACGUAGGGUGCAAGCGUUAAUCGGAAUUACUGGGCGUAAAGCGUGCGCAGGCGGUUUGCUAAGACCGAUGUGAAAUCCCCGGGCUCAACCUGGGAACUGCAUUGGUGACUGGCAGGCUAGAGUAUGGCAGAGGGGGGUAGAAUUCCACGUGUAGCAGUGAAAUGCGUAGAGAUGUGGGAAUACGUGCG